rnacentral:rRNA from 1 species
UACGUAGGGCGCAAGCGUUAUCCGGAAUUAUUGGGCGUAAAGAUCUCGUAGGCGGUUUGUCGCGUCUGCCGUGAAAGUCCGGGGCUCAACUCCGGAUCUGCGGUGGGUACGGGCAGACUAGAGUGAUGUAGGGGAGACUGGAAUUCCUGGUGUAGCGGUGAAAUGCGCAGAUAUCAGGAGGAACACCGAUGGCGAAGGCAGGUCUCUGGGCAUUAACUGACGCUGAGGAGCGAAAGCAUGGGGAGCGAACAGG